rnacentral:rRNA from 1 species
AUUGAACGCUGGCGGCAGGCCUAACACAUGCACGUCGAACGAGUGGCGGACGGGUGAGUAAUGUCUGGGAAACUGCCUGAUGGAGGGGGAUAACUACUGGAAAAGGUAGCUAAUACCGCAUACCAUCAGAUGCGCCCAGAUGGGAUUAGCGUGUUGGUGGGGUAACGGCUCACCAAGGCUACGAUCCCUAGCUGGUCUGAGAGGAUGCCCGGCAAAUCUGGAACUGGGACACGGUCCAGACUCCUACGGGAGGCAGCAGUGGGGAAUAUGUGACAAUGGGCGCAAGCCGGAUGCAGCCACGCCGCGUGUAUGAAGAAGGCCUUCGGGUUGUAAAGUACUUUCAUCGGGGAGGCGUUACCCGCAGAAGAAGCACCGGCUAACUCCGUGCCAGCCGCCGCGGUAAUAC